rnacentral:rRNA from 1 species
AUUGAACGCUGGCGGCAGGCCUAACACAUGCAAGUCGAACGAGUGGCGGACGGGUGAGUAAUGUCUGGGAAACUGCCCGAUGGAGGGGGAUAACUACUGGAAACGGUAGCUAAUACCGCAUACCAUCGGAUGUGCCCAGAUGGGAUUAGAUAGUAGGUGGGGUAACGGCUCACCUAGGCGACGAUCCCUAGCUGGUCUGAGAGGAUGACCAGCCACACUGGAACGGAGACACGGUCCAGACUCCUACGGGAGGCAGCAGUGGGGAAUAUUGCACAAUGGGCGAAAGCCUGAUGCAGCCAUGCCGCGUGUAUGAAGAAGGCCUUCGGGUUGUAAAGUACUUUCAGCGGUGAGGCGUUACUCGCAGAAGAAGCACCGGCUAACUCCGUGCCAGCAGCCGCGGUAAUAC